UACGGGGGGAGCAAGCGUUGUUCGGAUUUACUGGGCGUAAAGGGCGCGUAGGCGGCCAGCACAAGUCAGUUGUGAAAUCUCCGAGCUUAACUCGGAAAGGUCAACUGAUACUGUGCGGCUAGAGUGCGGAAGGGGCAACUGGAAUUCUUGGUGUAGCGGUGAAAUGCGUAGAUAUCAAGAGGAACACCUGCGGCGAAGGCGGCUUCCUGGACCGACACUGACGCUGAGGCGCGAAAGCUAGGGGAGCAAACGGG
rnacentral:rRNA from 1 species